rnacentral:lncRNA from 1 species
GAAGUAUUUGGUAGGUGAUGUCCUAGAUAUUCAGAGAUAGAAAGUUUACCAUCUCCAUAAUCAAUUAUCUUGUCCAAGAUAUGGGAAGAUCAGCAAAACACAUCAGACUGUACUAAUAGGAAGGGAACAGCAAUAGAGAUACCUACACAAUAUUAUAGAGGUUAUGCAUAAUUAUGGACGACUCUCUCCUUUACAAAUAUUAGUGACCUGCCUUCAUAUAAUUUUAAUGAAAAAUUGAUAUCUUGGAAUCCAACUCUCUAUACAUCUACAGAGAUAGAGACAAACAUAUACACACACACACACACCUAUAUAUAUUUCAUUAAGUGACUAUAUUUGUAAUUUAGUUUGCCUUAGUUUGAGGCCAAAUAAAUCAUUUUUAAACAUUCCAGUAAGUGUAUAAUUGUUUACAUAUAGAAUUAGAAGUAAUUCUAUCAUUUUUAAACAUUCCCACAAGUGCAUAAUUAUUUACAUAUUAAAUUAGAAGCAAUUCCUAAUAAGUUUUGUUACUCAUACCAAGAUGGUUGCAUUCCAUCAAGGUAAAGUAAGUAUCCAUUAUAGAAACAAGAUGAAAAUGGUGGCGGAUAUGAAAUUUUAACAAGAUGAUAUAUUACCCAAUAGAAACAAUUUGGGACAUCGAUAUUUGAAACCUUACAUUACAGCACCAAAACCCAGUAAAGUAGUCAUCUAGGAACCACUUACUGGGUAAGAAAUAUUCAGAUACACACUAGAGAUGCCAAGAACCAUUACUAAACAAAGUUUGUGAUAAUCUACAUCCUUCUUCAAAUCAUAAUCCUCCCUUUAUUUUGCACAGUUUUAAUACUAUUAGCUAAUAUCUUUAUAGCUUGUGAGGAUGCAGAUGUGGCGUUGCCCCUUUAAUAAAUCUUAUCUAGCAUUUAGAAAUGGCAGUUUCAACCAUUCCCGCAAUAACUUGAUCUGCUCCAAACCAAACUGGAUUGGAUUUUGACCUUUAACAAGAACUUAAAUGGAGAUGGGGAGAACCAAAAAUUAAUAAACUGAAUAGGCUUAUCCAUCACUUACUGAAUUGGCAAUUUAUUUUUUUGAGGGCUUCCUAAAGUCAGCAGCUCGUUGAAUAAAAACCAUGUUUUCCAUAUUGCAUAUACUUUAUCGGAGAUGAACAUAUAAAAGCAAACAGGAAACAAUUAAAGAUCAGAGACAUUGAAUCAAAACACUGAUAUUCUGUACUACAUAAUAAACAGGUAUUUCCGUAUCAACAGAUCAUGCAAUAUCAUAAAUAAAAGGCCAUUCUACAUAACCAAUUUAACAAUUAAUAUAUAUCAAGAAGUAGAUCCGUUCGAUAAAAUAUUGUAAGUUGAAUUUUCUAUCCGAAUUAUAAUGAAAGAAUAUGUUUUUAGUAGUAAAGUAGAGAGAAAUUAAAAAAAAAAAUCUACCUUCAAAAGAUUACGCGGAGGAGCAACUGUAUAAAUUUUGGCAGACGAUUCAAGUGCUUACCAAACCCUAAUUUGCUUAGAAUUUGGUCCAAUUCUGUUUCAGCGCCACCGAUAUUGAGGGAACCAAGAGACGGGAAAGCGAUAGCUAAUCUUAGUUGUCCCAGCAGGCAGCACCAGACAAAAGGAUAUAAAUAAAGGUGAGUUACAGUUACCUCCCUCUAGGUUAGAACUUAUUACACAUAGAACCCUUCUUCUUUGU